UGUCAAGAGAUUUUCAAAUGUUUCAAGUAUUAUUCCCACUGCCAUUUGUACGUUAUUGAAAGUUUAUCUUUAAUUUUAGUGUUAAUAGUUGUUUACCCAUUUAUUCUUUCCAUUUAAUCGUAUUUUAUGGUUUUACUGUUUCGCUGAAGUGAAGCUUAAAUGAAAGACAAAAGCAUAGUGUUCUCAGAUAUGAUUCACCCAGUAUAUUUCCUCUGUACCUGGUUCUCUACGAGCCGUUUCACUCCCAGGAAGGGGAGAGCAGGACGUUCUUAUCUAUACACUCCCAAAUACAAAGAGGGGCCCAUUCUUCAGAAUCACACACACACACUCUGAGAUCAUAAACUUCACACACACACACAUACUCUGAAACGCUAUAAAUAAAGAACUGCCACAAAUGCUGGUUGUGAGCCUGAGACAGCAGCACUCACCCAGCGUGCGCACGUUGUUACCAUCUAAACUGUCUUGAGUGUCUUUAUUUCGCCUGAAGAAUGUCUUGUUUAAAUAUUUACUCCUCACAUUUAUUUGGUCCUUCGAGCCAACAGAGUGACCUCGUCGUUUCCUGGAUUCGUGAACCCACGCUGCAAAGUCUGUCGCGACAGCCUGUUUCUAGUGAAACAGUAAAGACCAACUACGUGAAUUCGCCGUUGGCCAGCGUUUUUAGCAAGAGGUCCACGAUCCCAGGGAGCGAGGAGGAUUCUCUCUGACCGGCAUUUUCAUCCGAAGCAGGGUAAGACGGGAGUGGAGGUGAAGCUGUGGGAUAUUAAUGAUGUUGGUGGUGUUGGUCUGUCCUCUGUCCUCGUGGAGAAGGCUGAUCCAUAUCGGUGUUUACCUGUUUCUGAUGCAGUGAGACAUUUUUCAUCCCUGCUUGUUAACACUUUCUCUCCCUGAUUCUUGCUUUUGUCCUAUUACAAGAAAAUAAUAGGUUAUUAAUGUAGCCUUACAUUUGUUUGCCAUCAUAUCAAAUGUGGUUUUGUUUGCAGUCACAGGUGUGAUUUAGAAAAGCAAAACUACACACAUAAAUACUCACAAACCACACGGCUGAUGAAGCUGUUUGAUUUGGAUACACAUAAAAAAUAGCACAUCAUUUGAAUUUUUUGCAGUGUUCAUCCUAAUGCACAACAGCACUGCAUGUCCUUUAUUUGAUUCUUGAAUCAAAUAAAUGUCAAAUUGUCAAGAGAUUUAUUUUAAAUGACACUUCUUCAGCUGAGAGUCUAAGAGUAAAGACACACACACUGCAGGUUUUACUUGCAAGGGCGGUCACAGAGCUCUGUUACCACCCCGGUCUUUAUUUAUAUGCAAAAAUAAUACAAUAGUGAAUACGUCUGUUCAUAGACAGAGCAAUGUUAGUGCGUAUGCAGGUGUAUGUGUGUUGUGGGAUUCGGAAGGGAGUGAAGAUAAGAGUGCUUCAGCUCUCCUCUUCCUGGUAAGAGUGAAACUGCUUUUUCAGCUAUUGUCGCUGUGGGAAAGUAUUCUAUCAUAUGUAGACUUAUAUCAUUAAAAGCUUAUACUGACUACUAAGUACAAUUUUCCAUUGACACAAACAUUACUCACUUUAGUAUUACAGAUACACAUAAAGUUCUGUAUGUGGAGUACCAUAUAGGAGGUUGGGCUAUGAUACUCUGCCAGCCUGGCCACACUCCACAGCUUACAUAUAAAACAGCUGUGCAGAAUAGUUUAUUGAUAAAUCAAUUCAUAAUGUGUUAAUUCAUCAUUGUCACAUGGUUCUAUUUGAACGCAAAUAAACUUUAUUUGAAUUAUACUUGGAGAGACAGAGUGGGGUGAAGUGCAGCGAGAAGAGAAGAGAAGAGAAGAGAAGAGAAGAGAAGAGAAGAGAAGAGAAGAGAAGAGAAGAGAAGAGAAGAGAAGAGAAGAGAAGAGAAGAGAAUCAUAAGAUGUCAGCAAACUCAUCAGUCUCCUCUCAGUCCUCUUUGGAUCUCAACCUUUCCUCCAUCGACACCUCCAUCUCUCUACUACUAAGGAAAUACUUAAUGCAAAACUAAGAUCAGAGUAGCGGUGAGACCUUCAACGCCUUUGGUUUAUUUGAAUAUACAAAACUCUGCAUAUCAUUUAAAUUAUUUCCACUUGUUGUCGUAUUGAACAAAAUAAAGAGCAGCGGGUGGAUGAAGCCCAGUCUGGUGUGUGGUAGUCAAAGAAGAAAUGCAGGACAUGAGUGAAGUGAAGGUCUGCAUUAGUGUAGAGUAAUCUUAGUGGUUGAUUUGUGUCUAUGUCUACAUUAUGCAUGUUUCUGUCAAAAUAACUGUCACUGCUGAACUGUUUUUCUAAGUUUGCCAUUGUUUCAGUUUUUUCCAUAUUUAAAUUGACUGUUUUGAGGCAGGAGGUGGAGUGGGGCUGAAAUAUGUUUUGAACAAAUACUUGCAAAUAGACACGUCGUUCCUGUGAGAGAAACACAGAGGAAGUUCAGAUACAAACAGAGAGAGGGUCAGUGGAAAGUAGUCAACUUUUCCAGAAAAUCAAGUGUGAGAUAUAUCCACCAUACAGCAGCACUACCGUUCAUUUUUAUUUCCACUGAUGUAAUCUGAUAUGGUUUAACCUUUAAUAAUCUUUUGUCCCAGAUUUUUCUCUCACAUUUUGCAUCACACAUGUUGACACAUUGACAAAUGUUAAACAAAGUCUUGGCGGUAAAAUGAUAGUAUCAUGUACUGUAUUGUAUAAUUCACCAAACGUACCUUAAGUUAAAAAAAAUCUAUUUUCCAGUAUUACUGAAAAAAUAAAUUAAUACAUGUUUAAAGGAAGAAACAGCAGAAGUUUCUUUAUUUCUUAAAAUUAUUUCAAAUCCAUAAUUUAAUGUGAUUACUUUAGAAACUUUUAGCAUUUCUAUCUGAUGUUUAUGGAUGCUUGUUUCCUCCACCACAGCUACAGACAGAAGUAAGUCAAACAGUUAUUGCAAAUGCUGUAGUAUUAUCUCAAACUUUUUGACUUAAUGGCUGAUUGUAAGAAAAUUUCAAAUUACUUCUGAGUAAUUUUAAUUUGGCCAUAUAUUACAGCUUUGGGGUUCCAUAGCAGCACAGUUAAUGUAUAAGACAACACAAAAAGGGGGAAAAAGUUGUAUAUACAAACUAUACAGAGAUUAAAAAGACAGAUUUAAUUUAUGUUUGUUCCAAUGAUUUGGCUUUUUUCCCACUUCUUCUAUUCUAUUCUUUUUUUAUUCUUUUUUUUGCCCCAGAUGUCGACAAACUUAUUUUUCUCCCCUUUCGAUCUGCACCUUUCCUCCAUGAACAUCUCGCUUCCAUUAUACAUGUACUGUAUCAUCUCUAAACCAAGCUCCUACAUCUAUUGUGCACUGAGCAUCAUUAUCAUCUUCCUCGUCCUCCCCGUCUGCAUCCUCAUCCUCCAACAUGGUCUCCAAGAAUGGAGGAAACAAGGCUCCACCUUCAUGGAAGUACUGAGUCACUCUGACUGCUUCACCUACAACAUCGUCAUCAUGGACCUGUUUGCUGUCUUAGCGUGUGUCUUUGGUGAUUGUAGUAUGUUCAUGAAUAACUUAAACAUGUUAUUCUGGGCGUUCUUUCUUUACUCUGUCUGCUGGUUUGGACAGAUCUUCUUCCACAUGCUGACUUGUGUGGAGCACUACAUGGCUGCUGUUCAUCCCAUCACUUAUCGGAGCUUAAGGAAAGAAAGAGGGGUCAGAAUCAGGAAUAUCAGCAUAGGCUGUGUUUGGCUGCUUUGCUUUGCAAUAGCAAGUUUUAUAAAGAUAAACGAUAUCAUCGUCUCCACUGUGAACAGGGACAGGGUUGACCAAUCAAAGAAGAGGGCAUUUUACACCAUUGUGACCAUACUGGGAAUACUGGUUUUGAAGUUUGUUUGGGAUCUGAAUUGGUCUGUAGUGUAUAUUACAGGAGGACUUAAUGGAUGCAUGUUAAUGUCAUGGGACGCCCUAUUUAAUCUCCCCAGCAGCCUCUUGAUGCCUCUGCUGUUUCUAUACAGAAAGGGUAAAUUUGUGUGUUGCAAGAACAACAUGCAAUGAGUAUUAGAGAGGAGCCUAGGAACAUUUGGGGUUGUCUCUUGCUGUAUUUCUUGCUAUGAGCAGAUGACAUCAUCUGGAGAUCCGACCCUGGGGGGCAAGCAACACCAGAAAAGCAACUGAUGCCUGAACAUUGUCUGCCCACUAUUUUUUUAUUUCAGUUGUUUUCCUGCCAGAUUAAAACUUUCUAAUAAUUUCCACUUUUCCCUGUGGUUUAUAACGUAGUAAGAUUUGGCUUUCCACUGAAUUCUUUUGGGUUUGAAUUUCCAAGGAAUGCUACUUUUCUUGUUGGAUUGUUAUUAUCAAUUAUUUAUGUUUAUUCCAAUGAGUUGGCUUUUUUUUCCUUCUUUUUAUUCCUGCUGUCUUACUAUUUAUAGUUUAUUUCUGCACAGUUGGUGUGUAGAACCAACAGUUUUGUUGUACUUGUACAAUAACAAUAAAAAGCUUUUCUAUUUUGUUCUUU